rnacentral:lncRNA from 12 species
AAUCAAUUCCACCUCUUUAGUGCCCCAAUCACACCCCAUUUUUCCCUGGUAAUUGCAGACCUGCUUUGCUGUUAACUCUUUGGGAACAAUACAGGAAGAGGGGAAGCAAGAAGGGUUUUCUUCUCCAGUGAGGUCCUAAUCUGCUUGGAGAGUGUCAUGCCCUUAUCACUGGAGUUUGGAUGAAUAAUUAUGUACAGGUGCACGGGAUGCCAGGACCACUGACCUGCAAGGGGUUUGGAGAGGGCAGAUGAUAAUUUAACAUUUGAUUAUAAGCAACAAGCCACAAGCCUUGUGCCUAACCCUGGAUUGUCA